ACCAAGUCACAGAAAUCCAAGCAAGCACCACGACGGACCAGCUCAGUGGCCCAGCCUCAGGGGUACCGCUUCAGACGCCGACAGGCGAGAUGCAGGAGGACACCACACCCCCGCUGACCCCCAGCACCUCUGCAGUUCAAGGCGACCUAACUUUGUCCUAAACGACUCAACUUUCUCCCGCCCCUGAGCUGCCGGACUAGGAGAGGGAGGGAGUGGUGGCUCCGCAGGCCUCCCAGCCAUCCUCACCAACCGAGCCUCGCCCUGGGUUCCGCUCCCGACAGCUGCGCCGCUCUACUCGCUGUGCGCCGCAGAGGAGCGGGAAUUGGACGCAAAGCCAAGAGGGUCCCGCCCCGCGCGCGCCGGGGAACGGGAUUGGACAGAAGGCCUCCACGGCCCCGCCCAGUGCAUGAAGUGGGGGACCCACUGGGCCUGCGCCGUGCAGGGACUCGGCCCCGCCUGCCUCGAGCGUUCUAGGCCUGGGUUAAGUUUCUGGGCUGCGGUCCUGGGAAAGACUUGCCUCGCACCGAACUAGCUCCCGAAGUCCGCGCAGCCUCGGUGACCUGCCCGAUGCUGUGGGAGCUCGAUGCCCCGACGCCCCGACCUGAGUUAUCUGGGGAAUCGCUCUCUGCCCACGGAAGGACUCAGCCUCCUGGAAGACACUGAAACUGAUGGCUCAAACCUGUUUACACCGGCUUCUGCUUGACGCCGCGCCCAGUUUCCCUCACUCUUUUUCUUGCGCGCCCGGUUGCUCUCCUCCCUUUUCCCAGGGCGAUGCUUUUUGCAUCACCCAAGCAAAGAACUCAGACCAGGGUUUUAGAAAGGAAUUUCGUUGUCCGCCCUGUGUUCUGGCAAGAGCACGGUGACCACACAGAUCCCUCCUUGGCCUCUUUCCCUUCAUCUCUGAGGCUGAAGUUUGUCCAAGCUGCAACACUAUACCAUCCCGGUUUCCUGGCCCUGCUGCACUUUUCAACGUCCUUGAAGGCACCAGGGAUGUUCACAGGGCAAACUUGGGGCUUAUCUGAUGUUUCUAUUAUCGUGCCAAGAAAUGGAAUUUUUAACCAGAACAGAGCUGGACAAAUUCUAGCUGAAGAGUAGAGGCAUCAUUAUUUUGGGACACAACCAACAGUGAACUAAAGGAUGAUGAAUAUAAAGAGAUAAACUCAAUAUGAAAAAUUACCAACAGCAGAUGAACAGUGUUUUUUAUUCAAAGAUUGUUUUGGUUGUUCAGGAUCCCUUGCCUUUCCAAGAAUGUAACAUUUUAUAAUAAAGAUAGAGACACAAGGAUACAAUAUGUAUUUUUCAUUUUGUGCAUAAAUAUUGAGUUUUUAUGUAUUGUUAUACUUCUUUUGGGGGGUGGGGAGGGUUACCAGGGAUUGAAUUCAGGAGUACUUGACCACUGAGCCACAUCCCCAGCCCUAUUUUGUAUUUUAUUUAGAGACAGGAUGUCACUGAGUUGAUUAGUGACUUGCUUUUCCUGAGGCUGGCUUUAAACUGGCAAUCCUUCUGCCUCAGCCUCCUGAGCCAUUGGGAUUACAGGCAUGUACCACCAUGUCCAGCUUCAUGUAUGAUAUACUUUAAUCUACUUAGUGAACUGGAAAUAUCUAUGAUCUUAUUUCUUUCCAGUAUCAUCCAGCUAUAUCUUCAUUCAUACAGUUAUUAUAUAGUAUAAAGUAUUCACAAAUGCAAACUUAAAUAUGAAUAUUUAUUAGUAACAUGGGUUUGUAGACUAUAUAUUGCAUAAUAUGCAUUUUGAUGGUAUCUAGGGACUUUCUAAUAUAAAUAUAUAGCUAUUCAAGAAAAUAAGGAAAGUAAUGUUUAUUCUCAAAAGGAAAACAGUUUAUUCAGUUUGGUUUUAAAUAAUUACUAUGUAGCUUAUCCUCCCAUCCCCCCAAAAGGGGCUAUGGUCUGCCCCUUUAGUAAAAGUUCAGUGGGGAAUAAUCAACAGGUCAUAUGCUAGGCAAGUUAUAUUAUCAUGAAUGUAACUUUGAAAAUCUGGGAAAAUGGCCACUCAGGGAACUAUGGGUGACCCGCCUGAUUAUGGUGUGUCUUCCUGGCUGACAUUUCAACUUUACUAUUUUUGU